rnacentral:rRNA from 1 species
UACGGGGGGGGCAAGCGUUGUUCGGAAUUACUGGGCGUAAAGGGCUCGUAGGUGGCCAACUAAGUCAGACGUGAAAUCCCUCAGCUUAACUGGGGAACUGCGUCUGAUACUGGAUGGCUUGAGUUUGGGAGAGGGAUGCGGAAUUCCAGGUGUAGCGGUGAAAUGCGUAGAUAUCUGGAGGAACACCGGUGGCGAAGGCGGCGACCUGGUCCGAUACUGACGCUGAGGCGCGAAAGCGUGGGAGCAAACAGG